rnacentral:rRNA from 1 species
GACGAACGCUGGCGGCGUGCUUAACACAUGCAAGUCGAACGGAAAGGCCCUGCUUUUGUUGGGUGCUCGAGUGGCGAACGGGUGAGUAACACGUGAGUAACCUGCCCUUGACUUUGGGAUAACUUCAGGAAACUGGGGCUAAUACCGGAUAUGAUCUCCUGCUGCAUGGUGGGGGUUGGAAAGUUUCGGCGUUUGGGGAUGGACUCGCGGCUUAUCAGCUUGUUGGUGGGGUAGUGGCUUACCAAGGCUUUGACGGGUAGCCGGCCUGAGAGGGUUACCGGCCACAAUGGGACUGAGAGACGGCCCAGACUCGUACGGGAGGCAGCAGUGGGGAAUAUUGCACAAUGGGCGGAAGCCUGAUGCAGCAACGCCGGGUGCGGGAUGACGGCCUUCGGGUUGUAAACCGCUUUCGCCUGUGACGAAGCGGGAGUGACGGUAAUGGGUAAAGAAGCAACGGCUAACUACGUG